AUGAACACCGUUAGGGUUGCAGAUAAGCCGUCGAAUUUGGCAUACAUACACAGCAAAGGAGAUAACAGAACAAUUUUGGACGGAACGUUGGCGUGGGACUCAUCGAACAAGGUUUCAGUGAACUACGCUAUUGAAUCUAGGAACUGUAAAUUGAAGUAUAGCUAUAAUCAAAAGGGUUUGACUAAAAUUUAA